rnacentral:rRNA from 1 species
GACGAACGCUGGCGGCGUGCCUAACACAUGCAAGUCGAGCGGAGACAGUGAGUAGCUUGCUAUGAGCUGUUUUAGCGGCGGACGGGUGAGUAACGCGUGAGCAACCUUUCCCAGACAGGGGAAUAACACACCGAAAGGUGUACUAAUACCGCAUAAGACCACGGGAUCACAUGGUUCUGGGGUAAAAGAAUUAUCGGUUUGGGGUGGGCUCGCGUCCGAUUAGGUAGUUGGUGAGGUAACGGCCUACCAAGCCGACGAUCGGUAGCCGACCUGAGAGGGUGAUCGGCCACAUUGGGACUGAGACACGGCCCAAACUCCUACGGGAGGCAGCAGUGGGGAAUAUUGGGCAAUGGAGGAAACUCUGACCCAGCAACGCCGCGUGGAGGAAGAAGGUUUUCGG